rnacentral:rRNA from 1 species
UACGUAGGGUGCGAGCGUUGUCCGGAAUUACUGGGCGUAAAGAGCUCGUAGGUGGUUUGUCGCGUCUGCUGUGAAAAUCCGAGGCUCAACCUCGGACUUGCGGUGGGUACGGGCAGACUAGAGUGUGGUAGGGGAGACUGGAAUUCCUGGUGUAGCGGUGAAAUGCGCAGAUAUCAGGAGGAACACCGGUGGCGAAGGCGGGUCUCUGGGCCGAUACUGACGCUGAGGAGCGAAAGCGUGGGGAGCGAACAGG